rnacentral:misc_RNA from 1 species
AAYCAUGGUGGGGUGUAGCCGUGAGGGGUUCUCGUCUGUAGUGGACGGAAGCCGGGUGCACAACAACAAGCAAGCCAGACACACUAUUGGGUCCUGAGGCAACAUCUCUGUUGGUUUCGGGAUGUUGUCCCACCAUCUUGGUGGUGGGGUGUGGUGUUUGAGAAUUGRAUAGUGGKUGSCRARCAU